AGUGAACGCUGGCGGCGUGCCUCAUACAUGCAAGUCGAACGAUGAAGCUCUAGCUUGCUAGAGUGGAUUAGUGGCGCACGGGUGAGUAAUGCAUAGGAAUCUACCCGGUAGUGGGGGACAACUUGUGGAAACGCAAGCUAAUACCGCAUACGCCCUAUGGGGGAAAGCGGGGGAUCUUCGGACCUCGCGCUAUCGGAUGAGCCUGCGUAGGAUUAGCUAGUUGGUGGGGUAAAGGCUCACCAAGGCGACGAUCCUUAGCUGGUCUGAGGGGAUGAUCAGCCACACUGGAACUGAGACACGGUCCAG
rnacentral:rRNA from 1 species